GAUGAACGCUGGCGGCGUGCUUAACACAUGCAAGUCGAACGGAAAGGCCCUGCUUUUGUGGGGUGCUAGAGUGGCGAUCGGGUGAGUAUCACGUGAGUAUCCUGACCUUGUCUUUGGGAUAACUUCAGGAAACUGGGGCUAAUACCGGAUAGCAGCUCAUGCUGCAUGGUGGGGGUUGGAAAGUUUCGGCGGUUGGGGAUGGACUCGCGGCUUAUCAGCUUGCUGGUGGGGUAGUGGCAUACCAAGGCUUUGGCGGGUAGCCGGCCUGGGAGUGUGACCGGCCACAUUGGGACUGAGAUACGGCCCAGACUCCUACGGGAGGCAGCGGUGGGAAAUAUUACACAAUGGGCGGGAGCGUGAGGCAGCAGCGCCGCGUGCGGGAUGACGGCCUUCGGGUUGUAAACCGCUUUCGCCUGUGACGAAGCGUGAGUGACGGUAAUGUGUAAAGAAGCACCGGCUAACUACGUG
rnacentral:rRNA from 1 species